GAUGAACGCUGGCGGCGUGCCUAAUACAUGCAAGUCGAGCGAACAGACGAGGAGCUUGCUCCUCUGACGUUAGCGGCGGACGGGUGAGUAACACGUGGAUAACCUACCUAUAAGACUGGGAUAACUUCGGGAAACCGGAGCUAAUACCGGAUAAUAUAUUGAACCGCAUGGUUCAAUAGUGAAAGACGGCUUUGCUGUCACUUAUAGAUGGAUCCGCGCCGCAUUAGCUAGUUGGUAAGGUAACGGCUUACCAAGGCAACGAUGCGUAACCGAGCUGAGAGGGUGAUCGGCCACACUGGAACUGAGACACGGUCCAGACUCCUACGGGAGGCAGCAGUAGGGAAUCUUCCGCAAUGGGCGAAAGCCUGACGGAGCAACGCCGCGUGAGUGAUGAAGGUCUUCGGAUCGUAAAACUCUGUUAUUAGGGAAGAACAAAUGUGUAAGUAACUAUGCACGUCUUGACGGUACCUAAUCAGAAAGCCACGGCUAACUACGUG
rnacentral:rRNA from 1 species